AAAAAAUGAUGAACUGCUUUGGUCCGUGUUGCUGAUUUGCAUCUGAUUAUAAAACAAAGCGAAAUUCUGAUUUU